AAAUUAAAUCACGCAUUUGGCAUUAAUGAGAGAUUGGGAGAUCACUCAUUUGGCAUUGGGAGAUCACGCAUUUUGGAUGUUUCAGAAAUAGGUCUACAAAUAUCCAGAAAUUGUUAUAACGAGGUUGGUAAUUGCAGAUUAAAGGUUGUCAGAUUUCUGGGACGCAUGGUGGUGCAGGCGGGAGCUGCCAUUACUAAGAUUCUUAUCCUCGUUGGUGCAGACUGCUUGCUCUUGUGGACAUUAAAAUAAUUUAUUUCAUUCAUUCAUCACAAGAAGGAUUAUUGUCGCCCCUUUUCAAUCUGCUGGCAAUUAUGUGACUUUCAAGCAAGGUUCCAAAACGUCAACAAAAAGUAGAACAGUUAAGCGAGGCACGGCAGAAAAGCGAAUAUUUCUUAUGUGAUUUUAGUUGUUGGGAGAUAGUCAAUGGUGGAUAAAAGGAGUGUACUGGAUUCCCAGCAAGGUGCUUGUUUUGAGUGCUCAGACAGUCCAACUUGUGGGAUAUUUUGAGAUGAAAAAUGUUGAUAUGUCAUGCAAGUCGAAAGAGGAGCAAGUGAAAAGGCUUAUUGACAAUCAAUUAGCCAUUAACGGUGCCAGGUUUUGCGUUUGCAUAUUUUUGGAUACAUACAACCACUGGCUGUAUAUACCCAAAAAAAUACGCAAAUACAAAGCCUGACACCAUCAAUGGCCAAUUGAUUGUCACUAAGUAGUUUCACCAACUCCUCUUUAAACUUUCAUGACAUAUCAACAUUUUUCAUGUCAAAAUAUCCUACAAGUUGGACCGUUAGAGCACUCAAAACAAGCACAUUGCUAGGAAUCCAGUACACUUCUUUUAUCCACCGCUUGGCUAUCUCCCAACAACUGCAAUCACAAAAUAUAUAUUAGCUUUUGGGAGAUGGACCAACAUUGCAGUGCUGAAAUUAAGUUUAUCUCUCCAUAUCACCACUGAAGUUUUUGCACUCGAGGAUGUCAAGAAAGCAAGUAAAUACAGAAAUGUGGAAUUUGUUUCUUCCAGUGUGGUUUUCUUAAUACGAGUUACCUGUGUUUGUGACUUAUUUAGGCUGCACAGUUUUAGUGGGUAAGCUCAUUCAAGACUCUCUCUAAAGACUUCAUGAAUCCUUUCAAGAAAUCUGUCAGAAGGCGAUAAAUUGUCUAACUUCAUAGAAAAGAUUUUGAAAUGGUGGACUACAACGUUUGCUUGGAAGGCACAAUACAAGUUAGCCAAUUCAACUUUUGUUGGCAGUUGGGAUGAUUGUGACGAUCUGUGUUGCAGUGGUGGGCAACAAAGCUAGACUACUUUUGCAUUAGGGCAGUCAUGUGGGAUUGGCAUCAUAUCUUCAGUGUAUUUUUGUCAUUAUAGGAUGGAUUGUCAUUCUCUACUGAUGGUUUAUGGUAGUGUGUAACUAUGGAUAUUCUAUACACAUAAAUCUUUGUAAAGUCUUCCAGUUUACAAAUCACUUUGCCAGCUUGUCUACCACCUCACCUUCUCAUUAAAUGUGGGAGAGCUUUAAUUAUUCCAUAUGAGAUCAAUCUGCCAUAUGUGUGGGAUAAAUUUAUUAGGUUUGCAAUUGGGGGUAUCUUGAUGAUGAAUGGUAUUGAUGACAAUCAUUGAAUCUCCCUUUAGGUGGAUCUUGAAGUCUAAUUAUCUACAAAGCAGUAUCCCUAGCUAA